ACCCUUUAAUGUUUGAUGUUCUAACGUGGACCCGUGAUCCGGGUUGCGGACAGUGUCUGGUGGGUAGUUUGACUGGGGCGGUCUCCUCCUAAAGAGUAACGGAGGAGCACGAAGGUUGGCUAAUCCUGGUCGGACAUCAGGAGGUUAGUGCAAUGGCAUAAGCCAGCUUGACUGCGAGCGUGACGGCGCGAGCAGGUGCGAAAGCAGGUCAUAGUGAUCCGGUGGUUCUGAAUGGAAGGGCCAUCGCUCAACGGAUAAAAGGUACUCCGGGGAUAACAGGCUGAUACCGCCCAAGAGUUCAUAUCGACGGCGGUGUUUGGCACCUCGAUGUCGGCUCAUCACAUCCUGGGGCUGAAGUAGGUCCCAAGGGUAUGGCUGUUCGCCAUUUAAAGUGGUACGCGAGCUGGGUUUAGAACGUCGUGAGACAGUUCGGUCCCUAUCUGCCGUGGGCGCUGGAGAACUGAGGGGGGCUGCUCCUAGUACGAGAGGACCGGAGUGGACGCAUCACUGGUGUUCGGGUUGUCAUGCCAAUGGCACUGCCCGGUAGCUAAAUGCGGAAGAGAUAAGUGCUGAAAGCAUCUAAGCACGAAACUUGCCCCGAGAUGAGUUCUCCCUGAGACUUAAAGUCUCCUGAAGGAAC
rnacentral:rRNA from 1 species